CUGGCGGCGUGCCUAACACAUGCAAGUCGAACGGGAAUCUUCGGAUUCUAGUGGCGGACGGGUGAGUAACGCGUAAGAAUCUAACUUCAGGACGGGGACAACAGUUGGAAACGACUGCUAAUACCCGAUGUGCCGCAAGGUGAAAACUAAUUGGCCUGAAGAAGAGCUUGCGUCUGAUUAGCUAGUUGGUGGGGUAAGAGCCUACCAAGGCGACGAUCAGUAGCUGGUCUGAGAGGAUGAGCAGCACACUGGGACUGAGACACGGCCCAGACUCCUACGGGAGGCAGCAGUGGGGAAUUUUCCGCAAUGGGCGAAAGCCUGACGGAGCAACGCCGCGUGAGGGAGGAAGGCCUUUGGAUUGUAAACCUCUUUUCUCAAGGAAGAAGUUCUGACGGUACUUGAGGAAUCAGCCUCGGCUAACUCCGUGCCAGCAGCCGCGGUAAUACGGGGGAGGCAAGCGUUAUCCGGAAUUAUUGGGCGUAAAGCGUCCGCAGGUGGUCAGCCAAGUCUGCCGUCAAAUCAGGUUGCUUAACGACCUAAAGGCGGUGGAAACUGGCAGACUAGAGAGCAGUAGGGGUAGCAGGAAUUCCCAGUGUAGCGGUGAAAUGCGUAGAGAUUGGGAAGAACAUCGGUGGCGAAAGCGUGCUACUGGGCUGUAUCUGACACUCAGGGACGAAAGCUAGGGGAGCGAAAGGGAUUAGAUACCCCUGUAGUCCUAGCCGUAAACGAUGGAUACUAGGCGUGGCUUGUAUCGACCCGAGCCGUGCCGAAGCUAACGCGUUAAGUAUCCCGCCUGGGGAGUACGCACGC
rnacentral:rRNA from 1 species